AACGCUGGCGGCAGGCCUAACACAUGCAAGUCGAACGGUANNACAGGAAGCAGCUUGCUGCUUUGCUGACGAGUGGCGGACGGGUGAGUAAUGUCUGGGAAACUGCCUGAUGGAGGGGGAUAACUACUGGAAACGGUAGCUAAUACCGCAUAACGUCGCAAGNAGACCAAAGAGGGGGACCUUCGGGCCUCUUGCCAUCGGAUGUGCCCAGAUGGGAUUAGCUAUGUUAGGUGGGGUAACGGCUCACCUAGGCGACGAUCCCUAGCUGGUCUGAGAGGAUGACCAGCCGACACACUGGAACUGAGACACGGUCCAGACUCCUACGGGAGGCAGCAGUGGGGAAUAUUGCACAACAAUGGGCGCAAGCCUGAUGCAGCCAUGCCGCGUGUAUGAAGAAGGCCUUCGGGUUGUAANAGAGUACUUUCAGCGGGGAGGAAAGGGAGUAAAGUUAAUACCUUUGCUCAUUGACGUUACCCGCAGCAGAAGAAGCACCGGCUAACUCCGUGCCAGCAGCCGCGGUAAUACGGAGGGUGCAAGCGUUAAUCGGAAUUACUGGGCGUAAAGCGCACGCAGGCGGUUUGUUAAGUCAGAUGUGAAAUCCCCGGGCUCAACCUGGGAACUGCAUCUGAUACUGGCAAGCUUGAGUCUC
rnacentral:rRNA from 1 species